CUGAACCAGCCAAGUAGCGUGAAGGAUGAAGGCUCUAUGGGUCGUAAACUUCUUUUAUAUAAGAAUAAAGUGCAGUAUGUAUACUGUUUUGUAUGUAUUAUAUGAAUAAGGAUCGGCUAACUCCGUGCCAGCAGCCGCGGUAAUACGGAGGAUUCGAGCGUUAUCCGGAUUUAUUGGGUUUAAAGGGAGCGUAGGUGGACUGGUAAGUCAGUUGUGAAAGUUUGCGG
rnacentral:rRNA from 1 species